UACGUAGGGGGCAAGCGUUGUCCGGAUUUAUUGGGCGUAAAGAGCGUGUAGGCGGCCUGGCAAGUCCGCUGUGAAAACUCGAGGCUUAACCUCGAGACGUCGGUGGAAACUGCUUGGCUAGAGUCCGGAAGAGGAGAGUGGAAUUCCUGGUGUAGCGGUGAAAUGCGCAGAUAUCAGGAAGAACACCCGUGGCUAAGGCGGCUCUCUAGUACGGUACUGACGCUGAGACGCGAAAGCGUGGGGAGCGAACAGG
rnacentral:rRNA from 1 species